UAAACGAUGUCGAUUUGGAGGUUGUGCCCUUGAGGCGUGGCUUCCGGAGCUAACGCGUUAAAUCGACCGCCUGGGGAGUACGGCCGCAAGGUUAAAACUCAAAUGAAUUGACGGGGGCCCGCACAAGCGGUGGAGCAUGUGGUUUAAUUCGAUGCAACGCGAAGAACCUUACCUGGUCUUGACAUCCACAGAACUUUCCAGAGAUGGAUUGGUGCCUUCGGGAACUGUGAGACAGGUGCUGCAUGGCUGUCGUCAGCUCGUGUUGUGAAAUGUUGGGUUAAGUCCCGCAACGAGCGCAACCCUUAUCCUUUGUUGCCAGCGGUUAGGCCGGGAACUCAAAGGAGACUGCCAGUGAUAAACUGGAGGAAGGUGGGGAUGACGUCAAGUCAUCAUGGCCCUUACGACCAGGGCUACACACGUGCUACAAUGGCGCAUACAAAGAGAAGCGACCUCGCGAGAGCAAGCGGACCUCAUAAAGUGCGUCGUAGUCCGGAUUGGAG
rnacentral:rRNA from 1 species